UGGAAAUCAGAGUUGUACAUACUUUUUGCUAUCUUCAAGGCCGCGGCUUUGCUGGUGACAGAGCUCAAGAGACCCUUCCAAACAGAGAUCUUUCUGCCAGGCUCUAUAAAUAUUGGUUUCACCCACAGCAACUGGAGAUGGAUCCAAAAGGCUAACAUUUACAACACAACCAAUGGGCAAUGACCUCCACACUGUCAGCUUUUUCUGGACCCUGAUCUUCAACCCAUCAAGAAAAUAUGCUUUGAAGAAACAGUAUAAAGCAAGACAGAACUGCCAGCAAGGUGUGUGCAGUCCAGGGAAGACCAAGAAGCACCCUGCCACCAAGUGAAAGAUCCAUGCUUUGCAGCUGUACAAGAACUGCUUCCUGCCUGCAUUGGGUAAAGAUCUCUUUGCAGCUAAGACAAAACUAGGACUAAUAGCUUGCUUUAUAUUGGGAAAGAGUCUUUUUCUGUUAUUUAGUUUUGUAGCUUGUUAUUAGUUAUUAAAACAAGCCUUUCUGCUAUUCAUCA